AACGAACGCUGGCGGCAUGCCUAACACAUGCAAGUCGAACGAGACCUUCGGGUCUAGUGGCGCACGGGUGCGUAACGCGUGGGAAUCUACCCUUGGGUUCGGAAUAACAGUUAGAAAUGACUGCUAAUACCGGAUGAUGACGAAAGUCCAAAGAUUUAUCGCCGUUGGAGGGGCCCGCGUCCGAUUAGCUAGUUGGUGAGGUAAUGGCUCACCAAGGCGACGAUCGGUAACUGGUCUGAGAGGACGACCAGUCACACUGGGACUGAGACACGGCCCAGACUCCUACGGGAGGCAGCAGUAGGGAAUAUUGGACAAUGGGGGAAACCCUGAUCCAGCAAUGCCGCGUGAGUGAUGAAGGCCUUAGGGUUGUAAAGCUCUUUCGCCCACGACGAUGAUGACGGUAGUGGGAGAAGAAGCCCCGGCUAACUUCGUGCCAGCAGCCGCGGUAAUACGAAGGGGGCUAGCGUUGUUCGGAAUUACUGGGCGUAAAGCGUACGCAGGCGGCGCAUUAAGUCAGGGGUGAAAGGCCUGGGCUCAACCCAGGAACUGCCUUUGAGACUGAUGUGCUCGAGUCCGGAAGAGGGUAGUGGAAUUCCCAGUGU
rnacentral:rRNA from 1 species